rnacentral:rRNA from 1 species
AUUGAACGCUGGCGGCAGGCCUAACACAUGCAAGUCGGACGGUAGCACAGAGAGCUUGCUCUUGGGUGACGAGUGGCGGACGGGUGAGUAAUGUCUGGGGAUCUGCCCGGUAGAGGGGGAUAACCACUGGAAACGGUGGCUAAUACCGCAUAACGUCGCAAGACCAAAGAGGGGGACCUUCGGGCCUCUCACUAUCGGAUGAACCCAGAUGGGAUUAGCUAGUAGGCGGGGUAAUGGCCCACCUAGGCGACGAUCCCUAGCUGGUCUGAGAGGAUGACCAGCCACACUGGAACUGAGACACGGUCCAGACUCCUACGGGAGGCAGCAGUGGGGAAUAUUGCACAGUGGGCGCAAGCCUGAUGCAGCCAUGCCGCGUGUAUGAAGAAGGCCUUCGGGUUGUAAAGUACUUUCAGCGGGGAGGAAGGCGAUGUGGUUAAUAACCGCAUCGAUUGACAUUACCCGCAGAAGAAGCACCGGCUAACUCCGUGCCAGCAGCCGCGGUAAUACGGAGGGUGCAAGCGUUAAUCGGAAUUACUGGGCGUAAAGCGCACGCAGGCGGUCUGUUAAGUCAGAUGUGAAAUCCCCGGGCUUAACCUGGGAACUGCAUUUGAAACUGGCAGGCUUGAGUCUUGUAGAGGGGGGUAGAAUUCCAGGUGUAGCGGUGAAAUGCGUAGAGAUCUGGAGGAAUACCGGUGGCGAAGGCGGCCCCCUGGACAAAGACUGACGCUCAGGUGCGAAAGCGUGGGGAGCAAACAGGAUUAGAUACCCUGGUAGUCCACGCCGUAAACGAUGUCGACUUGGAGGUUGUUCCCUUGAGGAGUGGCUUCCGGAGCUAACGCGUUAAGUCGACCGCCUGGGGAGCACGGCCGCAAGGUUAAAACUCAAAUGAAUUGACGGGGGCCCGCACAAGCGGUGGAGCAUGUGGUUUAAUUCGAUGCAACGCGAAGAACCUUACCUACUCUUGACAUCCAGAGAACUUUCCAGAGAUGGAUUGGUGCCUUCGGGAACUCUGAGACAGGUGCUGCAUGGCUGUCGUCAGCUCGUGUUGUGAAAUGUUGGGUUAAGUCCCGCAACGAGCGCAACCCUUAUCCUUUGUUGCCAGCGCGUCAUGGCGGGAACUCAAAGGAGACUGCCGGUGAUAAACCGGAGGAAGGUGGGGAUGGCGUCAAGUCAUCAUGGCCCUUACGAGUAGGGCUACACACGUGCUACAAUGGCGCAUACAAAGAGAAGCGACCUCGCGAGAGCAAGCGGACCUCACAAAGUGCGUCGUAGUCCGGAUCGGAGUCUGCAACUCGACUCCGUGAAGUCGGAAUCGCUAGUAAUCGUGGAUCAGAAUGCCACGGUGAAUACGUUCCCGGGCCU